AAUCAUCGACACAAAAUUAUAAGUCAGGUCGGCAUCCCAACAAUGCAACGACAACAAAACGAAGGUUGUUCCAGCUUAGGUUAUGGGGAGAGAGAUCAUACUUGUGUUUGGGUAGUUCAGAGACAAAAUCCACCCUUCACAAUUUAUCUCCGUCAAAAGAACCCAUAGCAUCAGACAAGACAACAUUCUCAUCUGUGUAUAAUCUUAGCCAGGAACAUCAAUUAAAUGAUUUCUUCAAAUAAUAUGUAUAAUUCCCAGAAAAGUCCAUUUUCUUGUCCACACGUCACUAAAAUGAAAUUAACCUCAACCACAAUUCCUGUAGAUGUUUACUAACUAGCCUUAGCCAAUGAAUUGAUAGAAUUGGGGACCUCAUGCUUCUUAGUCGUCGAUAUUAAAAGCAAAAUAUCCCACAUUUCUAGCCUUAGACAACAUCCGCUGCUUGUUCAGAAACUGGGUCCUGGCUUUGUUGAGGACUGAAUU
rnacentral:misc_RNA from 1 species